rnacentral:rRNA from 1 species
CACCUCUGGCGUCGAGCGGCGGACGGGUGAGUAAUGCUUGGGAAUAUGCCUUAUGGUGGGGGACAACAGUUGGAAACGACUGCUAAUACCGCAUAAUGUCUACGGACCAAAGUGGGGGACCUUCGGGCCUCACGCCAUAAGAUUAGCCCAAGUGGGAUUAGCUAGUUGGUGAGGUAAUGGCUCACCAAGGCGACGAUCCCUAGCCGGUUUGAGAGGAUGAUCAGCCACACUGGGACUGAGACACGGCCCAGACUCCUACGGGAGGCAGCAGUGGGGAAUAUUGCACAAUGGGCGCAAGCCUGAUGCAGCCAUGCCGCGUGUGUGAAGAAGGCCUUCGGGUUGUAAAGCACUUUCAGUAAGGAGGAAAGGUUAAGUGUUAAUAGCGCUUAGCUGUGACGUUACUUACAGAAGAAGCACCGGCUAACUCCGUGCCAGCAGCCGCGGUAAUACGGAGGGUGCGAGCGUUAAUCGGAAUUACUGGGCGUAAAGCGUACGCAGGCGGUUUGUUAAGCGAGAUGUGAAAGCCCCGGGCUCAACCUGGGAACUGCAUUUCGAACUGGCAAACUAGAGUGUGAUAGAGGGUGGUAGAAUUUCAGGUGUAGCGGUGAAAUGCGUAGAGAUCUGAAGGAAUACCGAUGGCGAAGGCAGCC